AUUGAACGCUGGCGGCAGGCUUAACACAUGCAAGUCGAGCGAGCGGCGGACGGGUGAGUAAUGUCUGGGAAACUGACUGAUGGAGGGGGAUAACUACUGGAAACGGAAGCUAAAACCGCAUACCAUCAGCUGUGCCCAGCUGGGAUUAGCUAGUAGGUGGGGUAAUGGCUAACCUAGGCGACGAGCCGUAUAUGGUCUGAGAGGAUGACCAGCCACACUGGAACUGAGACACGGUCCAGACUCCUACGUGAGGCAGCAGUGGGGAAUAUUGCACAAUGGGCGCAAGCCUGAUGCAGCCAUGCCGCGUGUGUGAAGAAGGCCUUCGGGUUGUAAAGCACUUUCAGCGAGGAGGCGUGACUCGCAGAAGAAGCACCGGCUAACUCCGUGCCAGCAGCCGCGGUAAUAC
rnacentral:rRNA from 1 species